UACGUAGGGGGCUAGCGUUGUCCGGAAUCAUUGGGCGUAAAGAGCGUGUAGGCGGCCCGGUAAGUCCGCUGUGAAAGUCGGGGGCUCAACCCUCGAAUGCCGGUGGAUACUGUCGGGCUAGAGUGCGGAAGAGGCGAGUGGAAUUCCUGGUGUAGCGGUGAAAUGCGCAGAUAUCAGGAGGAACACCCGUGGCGAAGGCGGCUCUCUGGGACGGUACUGACGCUGAGACGCGAAAGCGUGGGGAGCGAACAGG
rnacentral:rRNA from 1 species